rnacentral:lncRNA from 8 species
AAUGUAUACCUUCCUGGUGACAGUCCUUCUCAUGGGAAUACUAAAGAAGAACUCCCUAAGAGAAUACUGGAGCACAGAUCCUAUGUUUGCAACUCCCUUCUUUGCCACCCUCUUUUCCCCAAAUUAAGAAACUGCUUCACCCACCCACUGGAGCAGGUUGUUCGUCGACUGUCAGAUAAGAAAUAACACAGAAGAAUGAUCACCUCAAAAGCAAGGUCUCUGAGAGAGCACAACACCGGACCAUUCCUUAAUGGACUAGCAGUGAAAAAAUCAGUAUGAGUUUUACUUUGUAGAAUUUACUGUGAAAAGGACAGAGGGAGACAACUGUGUCCUGUUACAAAACCAGGACAUUGCUGUUGUACAGAAUGUGGUCGUCAAUGAAAUGGGCAACACUUUCGUAAUCUACAAGAGGUUCAGGAACAUGGUUGAUUUCUUCACCUACCCUUUGCCAUCUUCCAAGAUAGGCAUUUUUCACCUCUCUGCAUUUUUCACCUCUCUGGAUUAUCAGAUAAUCUCCUCUUCACCAACGCUAUAAAUGUGCUGAAGAAUUCUUCUUCCUUGCCAGAAUGGAUAAGCUGGCUUUCCAUUGAGCCACUUGUAGACAUGGCAUAGCCCUGCUUUUUUCUGUUCGCCUCUCACAAGGUUUUUUUUGUGUGAAUGUAGUGUAAAUUAUUAUUUUUGAUUGUAAGCGGUCUCUAUGCUUUGUUCUCCCUCAUUCUCUCCUGUCUUUAGAUCAUGAAGUUUGCUGUAAUUCAGUUCCUGGAUGAAACGAACGAGCCACAUGCAGUAGUUCUACAAACAGCACCUGAGAAAGAAGUUGCUUUAAGUUCAUGAAGGGAGCAGACACACCGCCAGUCCUACCGUAUCAGGAGCUUCUAUCGAACCGUGAAAACAUUGGGGUGCCAGCAGACUUUAGAGCUGGACAAGCAUCAUAUUCACCACAGCAGUAUGUGGAGGACACCCUUGGAGGGCCUACAAUGAGACACUUCAACGGGACAAAUUAUGGCCGUAGAUACAGUAUGAAUGACAGCCCUAGCAUCAUGUUCACCAAAGCAGCAUGUGGAUGA